UACGUAGGGGGCGAGCGUUAUCCGGAUUUAUUGGGCAUAAAGAGCAUGUAGGCGGUAGUUUAAGUCAGACGUGAAAUAUUGUGGCCUAACCAUAAUAUGCAUUUGAUACUGGAUUACUAGAGAUCGGGAGAGGAAAGUGGAACUCAUGGUGUAGCGGUGAAAUGCGUAGAUAUCAUGAGGAACACCAGUGGCGAAGGCGGCUUUCUGGACCGAUUCUGACGCUGAGAUGCGAAAGCGUGGGGAGCAAACAGGAUUAGAUACCCUGGUAGUCCACGCUGUAAACGGUGUUCACUAGGUGUUGGGGGUGUCGACCCCUCCAGUGCCACAGAUAAUUCGUUAAGUGAACCGCCUGGGGAGUACGGCCGCAAGGUUA
rnacentral:rRNA from 1 species